AUAUGCCUUUUGGUGGGGGACAACAGUUGGAAACGACUGCUAAUACCGCAUGAUGUCUACGGACCAAAGUGGGGGACCUUCGGGCCUCACGCCAAAAGAUUAGCCCAAGUGGGAUUAGCUAGUUGGUGAGGUAAUGGCUCACCAAGGCGACGAUCCCUAGCUGGUUUGAGAGGAUGAUCAGCCACACUGGGACUGAGACACGGCCCAGACUCCUACGGGAGGCAGCAGUGGGGAAUAUUGCACAAUGGGCGCAAGCCUGAUGCAGCCAUGCCGCGUGUGUGAAGAAGGCCUUCGGGUUGUAAAGCACUUUCAGUAAGGAGGAAAGGUUAAGUUUUAAUAGAGCUUAGCUGUGACGUUACUUACAGAAGAAGCACCGGCUAACUCCGUGCCAGCAGCCGCGGUAAUACGGAGGGUGCGAGCGUUAAUCGGAAUUACUGGGCGUAAAGCGUACGCAGGCGGUUUGUUAAGCGAGAUGUGAAAGCCCCGGGCUCAACCUGGGAACUGCAUUUCGAACUGGCAAACUAGAGUGUGAUAGAGGGUGGUAGAAUUUCAGGUGUAGCGGUGAAAUGCGUAGAGAUCUGAAGGAAUACCGAUGGCGAAGGCAGCCACCUGGGUCAACACUGACGCUCAUGUACGAAAGCGUGGGGAGCAAACAG
rnacentral:rRNA from 1 species